rnacentral:rRNA from 1 species
GGAGUCUAGCAUGUGCGCGAGUCAUUGGGACAUAACUAAACCUAAAGGCGUAAUGAAAGUAAAAGUCCGCCUCGCGCGGACCGAGGGAAGAUGGGCGUCGGUCUUAAACCGCCGCGUCCCGCAUUCCCGGGGCGUCUCGUUCUCAUUGCGAGAAGAGGCGCACCAAGAGCGUACACGCUGGGACCCGAAAGAUGGUGAACUAUGCCUGGUCAGGACGAAGUCAGGGGAAACCCUGAUGGAGGUCCGUAGCGAUUCUGACGUGCAAAUCGAUCGUCGGAACUGGGUAUAGGGGCGAAAGACUAAUCGAACCAUCUAGUAGCUGGUUCCCUCCGAAGUUUCCCUCAGGAUAGCUGGCGCUCGUAUUUCACGAGUCUCAUCCGGUAAAGCGAAUGAUUAGAGGCAUUGGGGCCGAAACGGCCUCAACCUAUUCUCAAACUUUAAAUGGGUGAGAUCUCCGGCUUGCUCGAACUGUUGAAGCCGCGAGAUACGGAUCAGAGUGCCAAGUGGGCCAUUUUUGGUAAGCAGAACUGGCGCUGUGGGAUGAACCAAACGUCGAGUUAAAGCGCCCAAAUCGACGCUUAUGGGACACCAUGAAAGGCGUUGGUAACUUAAGACAGCAGGACGGUGGCCAUGGAAGUC